rnacentral:lncRNA from 1 species
AGAAUAGAAGUAGCUGGAAACUCAUUCAUACACAACCAGGUUUCCAAUGAAUCAGCGCCACCUCUUGGUUUCCACAAACACAAGCAUCAAAUUAGCUGCAACUGAAAAGAAAAUAGAAAAUUAGUACAUAUAUAUAAAAUGUUGGAACAUUGAUUCAUUGAUUGAAUCGCAGAAUAAAAACUGAUGGUCGAUCAGGUGGCUUCAGAGAUCAGAACAAGCAAUAGCAAAAGAUUAUGCUACGUCCACACUAAUUGUUUCAUUUUAUGAAAAUAAACAAAAAAGCUCAAUUGUUUCAACCUGUGGGGAGUGAAAAUAAAAUCUUGUGUUAGUCACACAUUACUGGCAGGAUGUUAAGGCAUGAGCAAGCAUUGUUAAAGCUAACUGGAUCUCUAAAAUCAGCAAGCGCACAACAACACAGAGACUACAAGAUCGCCUAUUAACCGGCCCUUGGAAAUGCAAGGCUAGAAAUUCCCAACCUAUGUGACGUAUCGAUGUUCACCGUCAGUGUCACUGCAUGAAUAUGGUCUAAGCUGGUUAAGAGUCACAAGACAAUGGUUGCAUUUUGUACCUGAGACGAUGCAUCGCUAACACCGUUGAGGAAAUGAUACUGCGGAUUUAUCGCCAGGCAAAACGCCGUGUCAAGUGGGUGCAUACAACUCUAGUUGUCCAUGCAGCCAAG